rnacentral:rRNA from 1 species
UAUCUCUGUAGAGUCUGCAUAUCAAUAAGCGGAGGAAAAGAAACUAACUAGGAUUCCCUCAGUAACGGCGAGUGAAGCGGGAAGAGCUCAAAUUUGAAAUCUUCAAGGUUCUACCUUGACAAAUUGUAGUUUAAAGAAGUGUUUUCUGUUGGAGUUUUGGUAAAAGUUCUUUGGAAUAGGACAUCAUAGAGGGUGAGAAUCCCGUAUUUGACCAUUAUUUCCAGCUUUGUGAUACACUUUCAAAGAGUCGGAUUGUUUGGGAAUGCAGUCCAAAAUGGGUGGUAAAUUUCAUCUAAAGCUAAAUAUUGGCGAGAGACCGAUAGCGAACAAGUACCGUGAGGGAAAGAUGAAAAGAACUUUGAAAAGAGAGUUAAACAGUACGUGAAAUUGUCAAAAGGGAAGCGUUUGACACCAGUGUUGUUUUCUCGAAAAUCAAUUAAAAAAAGUGGGAUUUUGUAUUGUUAUGACCUUAUCAGCUUACUGUACUCUUUUCUUGCUUUUUUUAAUGCACUUUUCGUUUAACAAGUCAACAUCAAUUUCUUUUGUUGUAAAAGAGUCAUUGGAAGGUGGCUUUCACUUCGGUGAAAGUGUUUAUAGCCUUUGGCCUCUGCAAUCGGAGAGAUUGAGGUCUGCAGCGUAGAUCCUUCGGGGUUAGAUACAUUUGUGCUAAGUUGUAGCUUUUCAUAGACAACUUGUUGACUAUGUUUAGUCAUGCGGCUUACUCGCUUGUGCUAUUUUACCUACGCUUAGGAUGUUGACGAGACUGUCGAUCUC